UUCCGUGAGGACAGGAACCAUCUGCGUCCUAGUAACCAAGGCAUCUCAAGCACCUAGAACAGAGUUGGAGCAGUAGAAAGUGUACAAAGUGCUGGAUAAAUUAAAGUAUGCAUGGAUUCUCCCAGUAUGUGACUGCAAUCAAAGUCCAAAGCCUCUGACUUGUUAUGAAGAUCUGGCUGGUUCUCUCAUCAUGAGGGAGAAGAGACCUGGAUCCUAAUGGAGCUGCUAUGCAACCCACAAGAAAGAAUGAGAAAACAAUAAAGAACACAAUGAUGAUAAGGUUAUAUACUGCUAAUGUGGAAGGAAGAUAUAAGAAAAACAAGGUGGUAAUGCAUAAAAACCUUGUAGUCUGUCACACAAAGCAUAUUUUUUUUUAAAAAGGCAAAAAAAAUUAAAAGUAGCUCAAGCAAUUUGAAGGCAUAUUCUCUCUUAAAGAAAUGACAACAGGUUUCCGUAGGUCUCGAAACAUCCGUGGCCAAGGACUGAAACUCUCACCUGAAUAAAUACCUAUCUUCAGAGUUUGAGCACUGGAGGCCACUAACGUGACAAAGACAAGAGGUGCCUCCUUCUUACAAGCUGUGCAACCUUGGUACAGUUAGUUAACUUCUCGGAACUUCCUUCCCUCACCUGCUAACUUCUGAAGAAAAAUAUCUGCCCCAUGAGUUGCGAUAAAGAAUAAAGGAGAUCGAGCACUGGGGGUUAUACUCUAUGUUGGCAAACUGAAUUUAA